rnacentral:misc_RNA from 1 species
AGAUACCCCACUAUGCCUAGCCGUAAACUCAUUCACAACAACAAACGCCAGGGUAUUACGAGCCUAGCUUAAAACCCAAAGGACUUGACGGUGUCCCACCCUACUAGAGGAGCCUGUUCUAUAAUUGAUGAUCCACGUUAUACCUAACCAUUUUUUGCCUCCCAGCCUGUAUACCUCCGUCGCAAGCCUACCAUACGAAUGAACAACAGCAGGCACAAUAGUUUAAACACUAUAACGUCAGGUCAAGGUGCAGCUUACAUAAUGGGAAGUAAUGGGCUACAAUUUCUAAUUUAGAACAAACGAAUUACUAUAUGAAAUAUAGCAUGAAGGCGGAUUUAGCAGUAAAUGGGGAAUAGAGAGCCCCAUUAAAUUUGGCCCUGGGACGUGUACAAACCGCCCGUCACCCUCUUCAACAGCCUUUUAUUUAGAUUUAUAACCUAAUAUAGCAUUUUAGAGGAGGUAAGUCGUAACAUGGUAAGUGUACUGGAAAGUGCACUUGGUUAAACAAAAUGUAGCUUAACUAAAGCCUCUCGCUUACACCGAGAACAUACCUGCGCAAACCAGAUCAUUUUGAGCUUAAAACCUAGCCUACUCCAAAUACCCAAACAUCCCCAUUUACACCAAAAAUAAAACAUUUAAAUUUUAUAGUAAAGGUGAUUGAAAUAAUACUUAGCGCUUAAGAUUUAGUACCGCAAGGGAAAUUUGAAAUAAAAUGAAAACCAAAGCUUAUAAUAGCAGAGACCCUAACUCGUACCUUUCGCAUCAUGGUCUAGUCAGUCUAACCAAGCAAAACGAAAUUUUAGUUUGCCUCCCCGAAACUAAGCGAGCUACUUCAAAACAGCUUAAAGAGCCAACCCGUCUCUGUAGCAAUAGAGUGGGAAGAUUUUCAAGUAGAAGUGACAAACCUAUCGAGCUUAGAGAUAGCUGGUUAUUCAAUAAAAGAACACAGUUCUGCCUUAAAUUUUCCCAUGCUACCAAACAACAAAAAAUUUAAGAGUUAUUCAACUAAGGCACAGCUUAUUUGAAAAAGGAUACAACCUUCACUACUGGGUAAACCCUUAAUCUUCUACGUUAAGUGGGCCUAAAAGCAGCCACCUCAAAAAGCGUUACAGCUUAGCCUAGAAUUAAACAAAAUCUCACUAAUAACCUCUAACCCUCCCUCAUUACUGAAUAAUUCUAUAAUUAUAUAGAAAUUACUAUGCUAGAACUAGUAACAAGAAUUUCAAUUCUCCAAAAUGUUAGUAUGCACCAGCAACCCUGAUAAUUAACGGAUGUGAGUUUACCACAGCAACCACCAAGAAAACCCUGUACAAAUUUCCCGUUAAUCUAACACUAGAACAUUUCUGGAAAGAUUAAAAGGGUGAGAAGGAACUCGGCAAAUCUUGACCCCGCCUGUUUACCAAAAACAUCGCCUCCUGACUCACAAUAAGAGGUCCAGCCUGCCCAGUGAUAAACUUCAACGGCCACGGUACCCUAACCGCGCAAAGGUAGCACAAUCACUUGUUCUUUAAAUAAGGACCAGUAUCAACGGCAUCACGAGGGUCACACCGUCUCCUCCCCCCAAUCAGUGAAACUGAUCUUCCCGUGAAAAAGCGGGAAUAAAACUAUAAGACGAGAAGACCCCAUGGAGCUUUAAACUUUCGGCAACCAAAUAACACACCCCCUACAAACAUAAAAUUAUGCCUACUAGUCUUAGGCUGGGGCGACCGCGGAGUAAAAAUUAACCUCCACAACGAAAAGAACUAAAUCUUUAUCCAAGAGUUACCACUCUAAGAAUUAGAACACUAACGUAAAAUGACCCGACAACGAUCAACGAACCAAGUUACCCUGGGGAUAACAGCGCAAUCUACUUUAAGAGUCCAUAUCGACAAGUAGGCUUACGACCUCGAUGUUGGAUCAGGGUAUCCUAGUGGUGCAGUCGCUACUAAUGGUUCGU